rnacentral:tRNA from 1 species
GCCUGGCUGGCUCAGUCCGUAGAGCAGGUGACUCUUGAUCUUAGGGUCGUGAGUUCAAACCCCACGUGGGGUA